CUCUUCUUCUCUCUCCUCUUUAGAUUAGUUUCAUUUACUUCAUCACUUAUAAUCUCCUCCCUCCCUCUCUCAGGGCUGAUGAGUGGUUGUCGGCGGCAGUGGACUGUCUAGAGUUCCUGCCAGAUGACUUGGUGGUUGAGGUGAGCAGGGGUCUGCCCCGCUGCGGUGAGGACCAGGGCCAGUGUAAGAGACUGGUGUAUGGGAUCCUGGUCCAGCACUACGGAGAGACACAGCACUCUCCACUACUCAGCAACCACGUCUUCGACAUCCACUCCAGCAUCUCUGAACUACUGGUGAAUGGGAAGAGGGAGCAGGCUCUGGAGGCCCUACAGCUGUGUCUGAAACUACAGGACUCUCGCAGUAAAGAGGAGCUACGCAGACUGCUGCGAUUCAUGGCCGUCGCUGCCAAACCGCAGGAGGUCAAACUGCACAAAGAGGUAGAGAACAGGAUGGCGGUGAAGAGAUC